rnacentral:rRNA from 1 species
AUUGAACGCUGGCGGCAGGCCUAACACAUGCAAGUCGAGCGGAGCGGCUGACGGGUGAGUAAUUCCUAGGAAUCUGCCUUGUAGUGGGGGAUAACGUCCGGAAACGGGCGCUAAUCCCGCAUCCUAUCAGAUGAGCCUAGGUCGGAUUAGCUAGUUGGUGGGGUAAAGGCGUACCAAGGUGACGAUCCGUAACUGGUCUGAGAGGAUGAUCAGGCACACUGGAACUGAGACACGGUCCAGACGCCGACGGGAGUCAGCAGUGGGGAAUAUUGGACAAUGGGCGAAAGCCUGAUCCAGCCAUGCCGCGAGUGUGAAGAAGGUCUUCGGAUUGUAAAGCACUUUAAGUUGGGAGGCGUUAGCAACAGAAUAAGCACCGGCUAACUUCGUGCCAGCAGCCGCGGUAAUUC